rnacentral:rRNA from 1 species
UACGUAGGGCCCGAGCGUUAUCCGGAUUUAUUGGGCGUAAAGAGCAUGUAGGUGGAUCUUCAAGUCGGUUUUCAAAGCCCGGGGCUCAACUCCGGAACUGGAACUGAUACUAAAGAUCUUCGAGUAUAGUAGGGGCAAGCGGAACUCCCGGUGUAGCAGUGAAAUGCGUUGAUAUCGGGAAGAACACCAAUGGCGAAGGCAGCUUGCUAGACUAUUUCUGACACUGAGAUGCGAAAGCGUGGGGA